rnacentral:rRNA from 1 species
UACAGAGGUCUCAAGCGUUGUUCGGAUUCAUUGGGCGUAAAGGGUGCGUAGGUGGCGCGGUAAGUCGGGUGUGAAAUCUCGGAGCUUAACUCCGAAAUUGCAUUCGAUACUGCCGUGCUCGAGGACUGGAGAGGAGGCUGGAAUUCAUGGUGUAGCAGUGAAAUGCGUAGAGAUCAUGAGGAAGACCAGUGGCGAAGGCGGGUCUCUGGGCCGAUACUGACGCUGAGGAGCGAAAGCGUGGGGAGCGAACAGG